rnacentral:tRNA from 1 species
UGUGAUAUAGCUUAACUGGUAAAGCGCUCGCCUGAUACGUGAGUAGAUGAAAGUUCAACUCUUUCUAUCACAA